UCCAGGGUAGCCUAGUAGACAUGGCAUCUGCCAGAUAAGCGGAACAUUUUGUGUUCGAUUCCCAUCCCUGGAC
rnacentral:tRNA from 1 species